UUAGACCGUCGUGAGACGUUAGUUUUACCCUACUGAUGACCGUCACCGCAAUGGUAAUUGAGCUUAGUACGAGAGGAACCGCUCAUUCAGAUAAUUGGUUUUUGCGGCUGUCUGACAAGGCAGUGCCGCGAAGCUACCAUCUGCUGGAUAAUAGCUGAACGCCUCUAAGUUAGAAUCCAUGCCGGAAGGAAAGCUCCCCACCGGCCCGGGCACGCCACGAGCAACGGUAGCACUGCCUGAGCCGCGCGCGACCACAAUUUCCGCGCCCGGGCCGACGAAUCCCUUGCAGACGACUUGAAUAAGGAACGGGGUAUUGUACGCGGCAGAGUGGCCUUGUUGCCACGAUCCGCUGAGAUUCAGCCUUGGUUCUGAAGAUUU
rnacentral:rRNA from 1 species